AACGUGAUCAUGAAGUGUGUGAAGUUGUCUUUUUGUCCUUUUUUGCAACUCAUUCAUUCUGAAUUUACACCUUAGUUCAUUUCUUCCAGACAUGUUAUGGUUAAAUGCAAAGGUCAUCUAAAUACAUUCAUCCGGCUACAACCCCCCCCCCCCCCAUAAAACAUCGAUACUAUGGAAAUGGGGGAUUACUUAGUCAGGUCUUAAUUAUAGACGAGUGAUAAUAAAAGAGAAUAAACCAGACAAAUGCAGCAAUUUAAUACAUAUAAAAUGCAUUCAAGUGGAAACAAAUUUUGCUGGAUCACUCGGAGAUAUGAAAGGGUAUUUACACUGUGGGUUAUGGCCAACACUGGCAACACAGAUGGUUUUAAAAAAACCCAAUGCAAAUAAGAUAUGCCGCUAAUCAAAUGAUGUCUACAUACACAGUAGUGCAGUGUAGCGUGGUUAAGGUUGGAGCUUUUGCAUUUUCACAUGCGUAAAAACAACAUCCUGGUAACAGAUCCACCUCAGUCCAUAUCAAACCAGGAUGAAGGCAGAUAAACAUCUUGGUUUAUGCUGUCAGUCACCUCCGUGUGUCAAGUCAUGCACGUCGGGGUUAGAUGUUGAGUUGAGGUCUGGUUACUGUGGGGGGCAGAGACUUUUAACAGGCUGGGCAGAUGUGAAUGUGAAUAACAUCGAUGGCUACUUAAAUUCAGACAUGGGCAGGGAUGAAUGCCUAUUGGCUAGAAACUAUUUGAUCCUCCAGGCUGAACAGGAACUCCAGCAACACUUACUAGUUACUAGUUACCUCCGCCAAGGAUGUCAUGUUAUUGUCUCCGGUGUGUGUCCGUCUGUAUGCUUGUUGGUUUCUUUCUUUGUCUGUCUGUCAGCAGGAUUACGAAAAAAAAAAAAAUAAUAAUCACAAUAUUUCAGGGAAUAUCUGCGCUAAUGACAUUUUUGAUGACAUGACAGAAUACUUCAAAAUAUUGUAUUAUUCAUUUAAAGGUUAUACAAUUGCAAUGAAAUUAGUGUUGUAGUUGUAUGUCAGCAUCAAUGUUUACAGUUUGCCUUCAACGUUGCGAGAUAGGGCAUUUACGCUGCAUUCAUGUGGUUUCGGAAUAAUCGGGGAAAGAAAUGAGUUUCCGACUGGAAAAAUCACACUGGAUUGUGAGACAGUGCGUGCCUUGGUGGAGGUCUGCACUCUCUGAGUGCCCUUCUAGUUAUCACUUGUAACCCAGAGGAGUGGGAAUAGGUUCAGUAACUGUCCCGCUCCAAAAUGAGUGAAAGUGCCAAUUUCUUACAGAAGUGCGACAAAAUUACUUAAUUCAAUAAAAUAAUGUACAAAUGUGAUUCAGUUCGAAUAGCCCUGUAGACCUUUUACGUGUACUGCUCAAAUACAGUGUCUACAAUUAUUUUCUAUUCUGCUGCAUGUACACUUCUGGUUUCUUGUUGCAGCAACAGUGGGUGGGUUGAAAUAAAUACAAUUCAACCACAUUAGAAGUCUUUUACCAGACAUCUGAAUCCCAGUGAUUACAUGAGAAUGACGAUCAAAAGAAUUAAGUGAAACAAUAUGCAAAGAAAGAAUGUGUGCAAACCAAUCAGACAUCAGAAAAACACUGAAGAGUUCUGAAAA